GAUGAACGCUGGCGGCGUGCCUAAUACAUGCAAGUCGAACGCUGGAAAUCUAGCUUGCUAGAUUGAAGGAGUGGCGAACGGGUGAGUAAUACAUAAGCAACCUACCCACGAAGACUGGGAUAAUCUCUGGAAACGGGGACUAAUACCGGAUAGGUAAUCGGAAGGCAUCUUCUGAUUAUUAAAGGUUAAAAACACUGGUGGAUGGGCUUAUGGCGCAUUAGUUAGUUGGUGAGGUAACGGCCCACCAAGACGAUGAUGCGUAGCCGGCCUGAGAGGGUGAACGGCCACGUUGGGACUGAGACACGGCCCAGACUCCUACGGGAGGCAGCAGUAGGGAAUGUUCGGCAAUGGGGGAAACCCUGACCGAGCAACGCCGCGUGAGUGAUGACGGCCUUCGGGUUGUAAAGCUCUGUUGUAAGGGAAGAACGGUAGAUAGAGAAUAUCUAAAUGACGGUACCUUACCAGAAAGCCACGGCUAACUACGUG
rnacentral:rRNA from 1 species